UUAGUGGCGAACGGGUGAGUAACACGUGAGUAACCUGCCCCUGACUCUGGGAUAAGCGUUGGAAACGACGUCUAAUACUGGAUAUGAUCACUGGCCGCAUGGUCUGGUGGUGGAAAGAUUUUUUGGUUGGGGAUGGACUCGCGGCCUAUCAGCUUGUUGGUGAGGUAAUGGCUCACCAAGGCGACGACGGGUAGCCGGCCUGAGAGGGUGACCGGCCACACUGGGACUNNGACACGGCCCAGACUCCUACGGGAGGCAGCAGUGGGGAAUAUUGCACAAUGGGCGAAAGCCUGAUGCAGCAACGCCGCGUGAGGNNGACGGCCUUCGGGUUGUAAACCUCUUUUAGUAGGGAAGAAGCGAAAGUGAACGGUACCUGCAGAAAAAGCACCGGCUAACUACGUGCCAGCAGCCGCGGUAAUACGUAGGGUGCAAGCGUUGUCCGGAAUUAUUGGGCGUAAAGAGCUCGUAGGCGGUUUGUCGCGUCUGCUGUGAAAUCCCGAGGCUCAACCUCGGGCUUGCAGUGGGUACGGGCAGACUAGAGUGCGGUAGGGGAGAUUGGAAUUCCUGGUGUAGCGGUGGAAUGCGCAGAUAUCAGGAGGAACACCGAUGGCGAAGGCAGAUCUCUGGGCCGUAACUGACGCUGAGGAGCGAAAGCAUGGGGAGCGAACAGGAUUAGAUACCCUGGUAGUCCAUGCCGUAAACGUUGGGCGCUAGAUGUAGGGACCUUUCCACGGUUUCUGUGUCGUAGCUAACGCAUUAAGCGCCCCGCCUGGGGAGUACGGCCGCAAGGCUAAAACUCAAAGGAAUUGACGGGGGCCCGCACAAGCGGCGGAGCAUGCGGAUUAAUUCGAUGCAACGCGAAGAACCUUACCAAGGCUUGACA
rnacentral:rRNA from 1 species